UACGUAGGCAGCGAGCGUUGUUCGGAGUUAUUGGGCGUAAAGCGCGUGUAGGCGGCCAGAUAGGUCUGCUGUGAAAACUCGAGGCUCAACCUCGAGCUGUCGGCGGAAACCAUCCGGCUAGAGUCCGGAAGAGGAGAGUGGAAUUCCCGGUGUAGCGGUGAAAUGCGCAGAUAUCGGGAAGAACACCAGUGGCGAAGGCGGCUCUCUGGGACGGUACUGACGCUGAGACGCGAAAGCGUGGGGAGCAAACAGG
rnacentral:rRNA from 1 species